CACGUAGGGCGCGAGCGUUGUCCGGAAUUAUUGGGCGUAAAGAGCUCGUAGGCGGCCUGUUGCGUCCGCUGUGAAAGCCCGGGGCUUAACCCCGGGUCGGCAGUGGAUACGGGCAGGCUAGAGGUAGGUAGGGGAGAAUGGAAGUUCCCGGUGUAGCGGUGAAAUGCGCAGAUAGUCGGGAGGAACACCGGUGGCGAAGGCGGUUCUCUGGGCCUUACCUGACGCUGAGGAGCGAAAGCGUGGGGAGCGAACAGG
rnacentral:rRNA from 1 species